ACAUCAACAAUCACACUGCACACACUGUAGAAUGUGUUGCACACAGUGUGAGCAGUGAAAUCACCAUGAUGUGAUUCUGAAGUUAGUUCCUGGCUCCCUCUUUUCUUUAGCCCUCCUGAAGAAUGUGUGAGGUACCUCAUAAUUCUUAGUAUCAUUUCUGCUUAAACUAGCCAAGCUGGCUUCUGUUGGUUGCUAAAAAUAAAGUCUAAACUCAAUAGGAAAGGAAGUGAAGAAAAGGUUACUUCUGGUUUCAAAUGCAGCAAUCACAACAAAAUUUAAUGCCUGAGGACUCCGUAAUAGAUUAUCUUGUCCUGCACUACUAAGCCAGAGGAAGAAAUGAUCCAGACAACUCAGAUUUUAAUGUAACUGAAAUAAGCACAAACUUUCAUACUAGGGCUGAUAUGUUACACUAGAGUACCCAUGGACAAUAACACUGGGUCAAAUUCGUCUACUUCAUGUGGAAAGCUUGAGCCUCCGAAAGAAUGCAACAAUACAUUCAAAGAAUCUAAAUGCUGGAAUCAGUUUUUCCUAGCAACACGAGCCUGCCAUGUAUUAUGUGAAACUGCAUCC